GAUGAACGCUGGCGGCGUGCCUAAUACAUGCAAGUCGAGCGAACGAACGAGAAGCUUGCUUCUCUGAUGUUAGCGGCGGACGGGUGAGUAACACGUGGAUAACCUACCUAUAAGACUGGGAUAACUUCGGGAAACCGGAGCUAAUACCGGAUAAUAUUUUGAACCGCAUGGUUCAAAAGUGAAAGACGGUCUUGCUGUCACUUAUAGAUGGAUCCGCGCUGCAUUAGCUAGUUGGUAAGGUAACGGCUUACCAAGGCAACGAUGCAUAGCCGACCUGAGAGGGUGAUCGGCCACACUGGAACUGAGACACGGUCCAGACUCCUACGGGAGGCAGCAGUAGGGAAUCUUCCGCAAUGGGCGAAAGCCUGACGGAGCAACGCCGCGUGAGUGAUGAAGGUCUUCGGAUCGUAAAACUCUGUUAUUAGGGAAGAACAUAUGUGUAAGUAACUGUGCACAUCUUGACGGUACCUAAUCAGAAAGCCACGGCUAACUACGU
rnacentral:rRNA from 1 species